UUAUUUUAUUGUUUAUUUAAUUUGAUUGUUUACUAACAAAUUUUUAAUCGGUAGAAAACACAAGCAACACACAAAUAACUGGGCAAAAAAAAUAAUUUACGAUAGGGAAGAAAUAGGUAAAAUUGAAAUCACCAUAUAGCAACACAAAACCAACCGCCAAAUUAAAAAGUUUUGACAUUUUCAAUUUUCAGUUAAUUUGUUUUGUUUUUAUUUGUUGUUCUAUUGUUAUCACUACAAAUAAAUAAAGUUUUAAAUAUCAACUAAUAGCUACAUAAAAAUAAACAAGUGAAAUAGUAAUCAUGUCUAGCGUAUCUGUGACUUCGUCGAAGCGUGAGAAAGUAACAGCAGAAUUAACUCAAGAGAUAGAGUCAGUGAGAGCUAUGAACAGUAGUUUGAGAGCUUAUUUAGAACAUCUGUUGAUGUUCAAGAAAAAUCUACUUGCUAUGAAUAAAAACUGCACACAAUUGCAUGAUGUUAAUAAACAGUGGAUCGAUGUAUUGAGUAGUAUGAAAUGAUGUUAGUUUAAUGUUCAAUUUGGCUUAAUAAAUAAGUGUAAUUUUUAUGUCUUUGAAUAUUAUUUCAAAUGGUAGGACUACAUAUUUAUUGUUUAUUGUCUGACUGCUGGGCUGCAGCCUGCUUUAACACAGAAGGAUUGAGCAUUAAUCACCACGCUUGUUCAAUGCGGGUUGGUGAUUACUAUUUCACUCGGCUUGAUAUUAUUUAACUAUCAAUCAAGUUGUUAUAAAUGUAGUAUCAGAUGUAAUAUGGUUAAAUAAAAACAAAACA